GAUGAACGCUGGCGGCGUGCCUAAUACAUGCAAGUCGAGCGAACGGACGGGAAGCUUGCUUCUCUGAUGUUAGCGGCGGACGGGUGAGUAACACGUGGAUAACCUACCUAUAAGACUGGGAUAACUUCGGGAAACCGGAGCUAAUACCGGAUGAUAUUUUGAACCGCAUGGUUCAAAAGUGAAAGACGGUCUUGCUGUCACUUAUAGAUGGAUCCGCGCUGCAUUAGCUAGUUGGUAAGGUAACGGCUUACCAAGGCAACGAUGCAUAGCCGACCUGAGAGGGUGAUCGGCCACACUGGAACUGAGACACGGCCCAGACUCCUACGGGAGGCAGCAGUAGGGAAUCUUCCACAAUGGGCGAAAGCCUGACGGAGCAACGCCGCGUGAGUUAUGAAGGUCUUCGGAUCGUAAAACUCUGUUAUUAGGGAAGAACAUAUGUGUAAGUAACUGUGCACAUCUUGACGGUACCUAAUCAGAAAGCCACGGCUAACUACGUG
rnacentral:rRNA from 1 species